AUGCUGCAGUCAACUUUACUCCACCGGAGGAGAAGACACGGCCGCUUGUGCAUCAUCCCUGCAAGACCUGGAGGUGAGCGGAGGCUGAUUUUUGCUGCUGAAGCAGUAGAGCAGAGGGCGCUGUGCAGAGCAACAAGAACAUGCCUUGACUUGUACCAGCUUGUCAAAAGGGAGUUAAGGCUUGUGGUCAGCACCAGUAACUGUAUUUGCGUUCUCAUCCAACUGACCGGCGAAAGACGAGAGCAGCAUACUAUCCACUGUAGAAUAUAUGGAUAUUGUGACAAACUGAACUGAUAGUCUGGGCACUGGAUAUCCCUUCUCUGGAAGAUCCCUGACUUCAUCACGGCUAAUUGGUCUACUGAUGACAUGACCCCUGAGACAAAAG
ensembl:lncRNA